rnacentral:lncRNA from 1 species
AGUGCGCUACGCUCGCCGGCCGAGGUCCGAGUGAGCUAGCGAGCCAGCGAGAGAGCGCCGUCGCUGCGGAUCCCCGGAGAACCGAGCCGUUUUGCAGGGCCCGACGGAAGAGAGGCGACAACCGGCCGCGGGGCUGAAGCCUGGAGGUCAGCGCUGGGGAGGAAGUCGUCCCCCGAGCACCACGAUCCCGGACGCCCGACCCCCUGGCGGAACGGGUAGCGGUUCCGGAUUGGGAUCCGUGGGGCGUACACACCCUGCUCGCCAGCGCUUCUGCUCCUUCUGCCUCAGUUUCCCGGGGGCGCCGUUCUGCCGUACGCAGCGCGGAGCCAGCCCCACGGUUUUUUCCAGUUGGAGCGGAAGCCCACCUGCCCGUCCCCGAGAGCUGUCGCUGCCAUCGCCAUCCUCCCUGCAGGUCUGCAGGGAUUGCCCCAUCCCUGUGGUUUUUUACUUUUUCCAGACAAGUUCUCAAGUAGCCCAGGGUGGCUUCCUGACUCUCUCGAGUAGCCGAGGAUAACCACAUACUUCUGAUCCCACCUGUACCUCCUGAGUCCUGUUUUAAUGUGGUGCUGAGACUCGAACCCAUGGCUUCGCAGAUGCUAGGCAGACGCUCUGCGAGCUGAGCUCCACCCCCAGCCUCUUUGUCACUGCUUCUUCCUGCCCUCCAGUGCUUUCCAGCCAAGCACCUGUUGGGGAUACUGCCCACUCCUAAUCUUUCCCCGUAAGAAGCAGUGCUAGUGUUUAAAACAAAACAACAACAAAAUACAGACGCUUACUGAAUUC